rnacentral:rRNA from 1 species
AUUGAACGCUGGCGGCAGGCCUAACACAUGCAAGUCGAGCGAGCGGCGGACGGGUGAGUAAUGUCUGGGAAACUGCCUGAUGGAGGGGGAUAACUACUGGAAACGGUAGCUAAUACCGCAUACCAUCAGAUGUGCCCAGAUGGGAUUAGCUAGUAGGUGGGGUAACGGCUCACCUAGGCGACGAUCCCUAGCUGGUCUGAGAGGAUGACCAGCCACAUUGGACCUGACACACGGUCCAGCCUCCUACGGGAGGCCGCAGUGGGGAAUAUUGAACAAUGGGCGCAAGCCUGAUGCAGCCAUGCCGCUUGUGUGAAGAAGGCCUUCGGGUUUUAAAGCCCUUUCAGCGGGGAGGCGUUACCCGCAGAAGAAGCACGGGCUAACUCCGUGCCAGCAGCCGCGUUAAUAC